rnacentral:rRNA from 1 species
CUCCCUUUGUACACACCGCCCGUCGCUACUACCGAUUGAAUGGCUUAGUGAGGUCUUGGGAUUGGCUUCGGGGAGCCGGCAACGGCACCCUGUCGCUGAGAACUUGAUCAAACUUGGUCAUUUAGAGGAAGUAAAAGUCGUAACAAGGUUUCCGUAGGUGAACCUGCGGAAGGAUCAUUAUCGAGUUUUGACUGGGUUGUAGCUGGCCUUCCGAGGCAUGUGCACACCCUGCUCAUCCACUCUACACCUGUGCACUUACUGUGGGUUCCAGACGUUGUGAAGCGGGCUCUUUACGGAGCUUGUAAAGCGGCGUGCCUGUGCCUGCGUUUAUCACAAACUCUAUAAAGUAUUAGAAUGUGUAUUGCGAUGUAACGCAUCUAUAUACAACUUUCAGCAACGGAUCUCUUGGCUCUCGCAUCGAUGAAGAACGCAGCGAAAUGCGAUAAGUAAUGUGAAUUGCAGAAUUCAGUGAAUCAUCGAAUCUUUGAACGCACCUUGCGCUCCUUGGUAUUCCGAGGAGCAUGCCUGUUUGAGUGUCAUGAAAUCUUCAACUUACAGACCUUUGCGGGUUUGUAGGCUUGGACUUUGGAGGCUUGUCGGCCGUGUUUUGGUCGGCUCCUCUUAAAUGUAUUAGCUUGAUUCCUUGCGGAUCGGCUCUCGGUGUGAUAAUGUCUACGCCGCGACCGUGAAGCGUUUUGGCGAGCUUCUAACCGUCUCGUUUGGAGACAGCUUUAUGACCUCUGACCUCAAAUCAGGUAGGACUACCCGCUGAACUUAAGCAUAUCAAUAAGCGGAGGAAAAGAAACUAACAAGGAUUCCCCUAGUAACUGCGAGUGAAGCGGGAAAAGCUCAAAUUUAAAAUCUGGCGGUCUUUGGCCGUCCGAGUUGUAGUCUGGAGAAGUGCUUUCCGCGCUGGACCGUGUAUAAGUCUCUUGGAACAGAGCGUCAUAGAGGGUGAGAAUCCCGUCUUUGACACGGACUACCAGUGCUUUGUGAUGCGCUCUCAAAGAGUCGAGUUGUUUGGAAAUGCA